UACGGAGGGUGCGAGCGUUGUCCGGAAUCACUGGGCGUAAAGGGCGCGUAGGCGGCGCGGAAAGUCGUCGGUGAAAGCUCGGGGCUCAACCCUGAGUCUGCCGGUGAUACUCCCGCGCUCGAGCUCACUAGAGGCAGAUGGAAUUCCGGGUGUAGCGGUGGAAUGCGUAGAGAUCCGGAAGAACACCGGUGGCGAAGGCGGUCUGCUGGGGUGAGGCUGACGCU
rnacentral:rRNA from 1 species